CCUACGGGUGGCAGCAGUGAGGAAUAUUGGUCAAUGGACGAGAGUCUGAACCAGCCAAGUAGCGUGAAGGAUGACUGCCCUAUGGGUUGUAAACUUCUUUUAUAUGGGAAUAAAAUGUUCCACGUGUGGGAUUUUGUAUGUACCAUAUGAAUAAGGAUCGGCUAACUCCGUGCCAGCAGCCGCGGUAAUACGGAGGAUCCGAGCGUUAUCCGGAUGUAUUGGGUUGAAAGGGAGCGUAGGUGGAUUGUUAAGUCAGUUGUGAAAGUGUGCGGCUCAACCGUAAAAUUGCAGAUGAAACUGGCAGUCUAGAGUACAGUAGAGGUAGGCGGAAUUCGUGGUGUAGCGGUGAAAUGCGUAGAUAUCACGAAGAACACCGAUUGCGAAGGCAGCUCACUUGACUGCAACUGACGCUGAGGCACGAAAGUGUGGGUAUCAAACAGGAUUAGAUACCCCAGUAGUC
rnacentral:rRNA from 1 species